rnacentral:rRNA from 1 species
GAGGAAGGGGGGGGGCGUGCUUAACACAUGCAAGUCGAACGGAAAGGCCCUGCUUUUGUGGGGUGCUCGAGUGGCGAACGGGUGAGUAACACGUGAGUAACCUGCCCUUGACUUUGGGAUAACUUCAGGAAACUGGGGCUAAUACCGGAUAGGAGCUCCUGCUGCAUGGUGGGGGUUGGAAAGUUUCGGCGGUUGGGGAUGGACUCGCGGCUUAUCAGCUUGUUGGUGGGGUAGUGGCUUACCAAGGCUUUGACGGGUAGCCGGCCUGAGAGGGUGACCGGCCACAUUGGGACUGAGAUACGGCCCAGACUCCUACGGGAGGCAGCAGUGGGGAAUAUUGCACAAUGGGCGGAAGCCUGAUGCAGCAACGCCGCGUGCGGGAUGACGGCCUUCGGGUUGUAAACCGCUUUCGCCUGUGACGAAGCGUGAGUGACGGUAAUGGGUAAAGAAGCACCGGCUAACUACGUG